rnacentral:ribozyme from 13 species
AGAAAACGAAGAACUGGAGAAGAAGAGGAGAAAGGAGGAAAAGGAAGAGAAAGAUCCCCUUCCCUCUCUUAGUGGUGCAACUUGUUUCUCCUUUUUUUCUCAAUUUUUUUUUCUCACACCUCCCUUUCAC